rnacentral:rRNA from 1 species
GACGAACGCUGGCGGCGUGCUUAACACAUGCAAGUCGAACGGAAAGGCCCUGCUUGCAGGGUACUCGAGUGGCGAACGGGUGAGUAACACGUGGGUGAUCUGCCCUGCACUUCGGGAUAAGCUUGGGAAACUGGGUCUAAUACCGGAUAGGAACCAUCUUUAGUGUGGUGGUUGGAAAGUUUUUUCGGUGUAGGAUGAGCUCGCGGCCUAUCAGCUUGUUGGUGGGGUAAUGGCCUACCAAGGCGGCGACGGGUAGCCGGCCUGAGAGGGUGUACCGCCACAUUGGGACUGAGAUACGGCCCAGACUCCUACGGGAGGCAGCAGUGGGGAAUAUUGCACAAUGGGCGCAAGCCUGAUGCAGCGACGCCGCGUGGGGGAUGAAGGCCUUCGGGUUGUAAACUCCUUUCGCUAGGGACGAAGCUUUGUUGUGACGGUACCUAGAGAAGAAGCACCGGCUAACUACGUG